rnacentral:rRNA from 1 species
UUGUAAACCUCUUUUCUCAGGGAAGAAAAAAAUGACGGUACCUGAGGAAUAAGCAUCGGCUAACUCCGUGCCAGCAGCCGCGGUAAUACGGAGGAUGCAAGCGUUAUCCGGAAUGAUUGGGCGUAAAGGGUCCGCAGGUGGCUAUGUAAGUCUGCUGUUAAAGAACCUAGCUUAACUAGGUAAAAGCAGUGGAAACUACAAGGCUAGAGUGCGUUCGGGGUAGAGGGAAUUCCUGGUGUAGCGGUGAAAUGCGUAGAUAUCAGGAAGAACACCAGUGGCGAAGGCGCUCUACUAGGCCGCAACUGACACUGAGGGACGAAAGCUAGGGGAGCGAAUGGGAUUAGAUACCCCAGUAGUCCUAGCCGUAAACGAUGGAUACUAGGCGUGGCUUGUAUCGACCCAAGCCGUGCCGGAGCUAACGCGUUAAGUAUCCCGCCUGGGGAGUACGCACGCAAGUGUGAAACUCAAAGGAAUUGACGGGGGCCCGCACAAGCGGUGGAGUAUGUGGUUUAAUUCGAUGCAACGCGAAGAACCUUACCAAGACUUGACAUGUCGCGGAUCUUCUUGAAAGGGAAGAGUGCCUUCGGGAGCGCGAACACAGGUGGUGCAUGGCUGUCGUCAGCUCGUGUCGUGAGAUGUUGGGUUAAGUCCCGCAACGAGCGCAACCCUCGUUUUUAGUUGCCAGCAUUAAGUUGGGCACUCUAGAGAGACUGCCGGUGACAAACCGGAGGAAGGUGGGGAUGACGUCAAGUCAGCAUGCCCCUUACGUCUUGGGCUACACACGUACUACAAUGCUACGGACAAAGGGUAGCUACACAGCAAUGUGAUGCCAAUCUCAGAAACCGUAGCUCAGUUCAGAUCGCAGGCUGCAACUCGCCUGCGUGAAGUCGGAAUCGCUAGUAAUUGCAGGUCAGCAUACUGCAGUGAAUUCGUUCCCGGGCCUUGUACACACCGCCCGUCACACCAUGGAAGCUGGUCACGCCCGAAGUCGUUACCCCAACUGUUCGCAGAGGG